AUUGAACGCUGGCGGCAGGCUUAACACAUGCAAGUCGAGCGGGGUGAUGGUGCUUGCACUAUCACUUAGCGGCGGACGGGUGAGUAAUGCUUAGGAAUCUGCCUAUUAGUGGGGGACAACAUCUCGAAAGGGAUGCUAAUACCGCAUACGUCCUACGGGAGAAAGCAGGGGAUCACUUGUGACCUUGCGCUAAUAGAUGAGCCUAAGUCGGAUUAGCUAGUUGGUGGGGUAAAGGCCUACCAAGGCGACGAUCUGUAGCGGGUCUGAGAGGAUGAUCCGCCAAACUGGGAGUGAGGAACGGCACAGACUCCUACGGGCGGCAGCAGGGGGGAAUAUUGGACAAUGGGGGGAACCCUGAUCCAGCCAUGCCGCGUGUGUGAAGAAGGCCUUAUGGUUGUAAAGCACUUUAAGCGAGGAGGAGGCUCUUUUGGUUAAUACCCAAGAUGAGUGGACGUUACUCGCAGAAUAAGCACCGGCUAACUCUGUGCCAGCCGCCGCGGUAA
rnacentral:rRNA from 1 species